rnacentral:antisense_RNA from 1 species
AUAUCCGGACGCAACCGUCAUGGCUACUGUCAGUGAGGGCCCGUAAUGGAGAUCGAGUCAAGGGUUGCCCAGGGACACUUAGACCCUUCGGCUUCAAGGAGGCCUCUCAAAGGACAAAGGAUGAGACUGCCUGGCGGCAGAGUGCCCCCCACAAUCCUAGGAACUGUGUCGCCGCGCUUCCCGUUAACUUGCCGCUAAGUUUUUCUAGAAAAGUCGCCCUUCUUGCCAGGGGUGUCCUAUAGACUUUGUCAUGGAGUGAAACAGAAACAAAUGAGGUAAAGCAAGAUGGCUGGAUAGAAUCCUCCAGCAAUCAUCUGCACUGCAGGAACAACAAAUUGAACAACUAUCCACAUAAGAAGCACCUUCACAAGAACCAAAAAUCAGGUAAGCAAUCAGUGCCUGGUUUUAACAUCAUGUCAAGGAAAGAGGCACUGAAGAGAGUAGGAAAGAUGAUCUUGAAUUGCCUAUACCACCUCUCUCUCAUCCCCAAGCAGCAUGGCAGGAAGAGAGAAUCUGUGCACUUGGGGGGAGGGAUAGCAAAGUGAUUGGGGGACUUUGCAUUGGAACUCACUGCUCCCCUAACAUAGCGGAAAGCAAUACAGGGCAGAAUUUGGCCAUCGCCCACAGAGGGAGCAUUUACACAAGCCCUAGCCAGAGGGGAACUGUCCAUCCCAGCAGUCAGAACCUGACUUCCAGCUAGCCCCACCACCAUUGGCUAAAGCACUCUGGGGUCCUAACAAAUCUGAAAGGCAGUCUAGCCCACAAGGACCACAAUUCCUGGGCAAGUCCUGAUACUGUGCAGGGCUCACAGCCAGUAGACUCAGGGUGACAGGAUCCAGUGAGACACCAGCUGGGGCAGCCAAGGGAGUGCUUGCAUCACCCCUCCCCCAACUUGAAUAAACAUCAGUGGUAGCCAGUCAGUAGUCACCACGACCUUGGGCGAGACCCAGUAUUGUGCUGGCUUCAGGUGUGACCCAGCACAUUUCCACCUGUGGUGGCCACAGUGAGAGACACCUUCUGCUUGAGGAAAGGAGGAGGAAGAGUAAAAUGACUUUGUUUUGCAACUUGGUGAUAUGAUUAGGCUUUGUGUUCCCACCCAAAUCUCAUCUUGAAUUGUAAUCCCCAGGUGUUGAGGGCGAGACCGAGUGGGAGGUGAUUGGAUCAUGGGGGUGGUUUCCCCCACGCUGUUCUCAUGAUAGUGAAUGAGCUUUCAUGAGACCUGAUGGUUUUACAAGGGUCUGGUAUUUGCCCUGCUUGCAUUUCUCUCUCCUGCCACCAUGUGAAGAAGGUCCUUCCUUCCCCUUUGCCUUCCACCAUGAUUCUAAGUUUCCUGAGGCCUUCCC